AUUCAUUUUCAAAUAUUCUCUAAUAAACUUUAAAUCUGUUCUUAUCAGUUGAACAUCUGAUAUGUCCUUUAUUUGAGGACUGUAUAUUAAACUGAUUUUUGAAACAGGGGGCUGGAAUAGGAGCUUGCUCUGUCCACCCCAUGCAUUGACCUGGUAUUGCAGUGCCUCCAGGACCGGUGGUGCCUCU